GCACACCUAGCUCAGCUAUAGAGCGUCACUCUCCAAGGUGGAGGCCAUCCGUUAGAAUCGCGUCGGGUGCGCCA
rnacentral:tRNA from 1 species